UCUGGUUGAUCCUGCCAGUAGUUAUAUGCUUGUUUCAAAGAUUAAGCCAUGCAAGUCUAAGUAUAAGCUUUUAUACAGCGAAACUGCGAAUAGCUCAUUAUAACAGUUAUAAUUUACACGGUGAUCGUUACUAAAUGGAUAACCAUGGUAAUUCUGGAGCUAAUACAUGCGAAAUACCCUAUCGGGUAGCAUUCAUUGGCCUUUUGAACCUUCACUGGUGAUCACAAUGAAAUUGCGGAUCUCAUUUGAGACAGACCGUUCAAGUUUCUGACCUAUCAGCUUUGGUCGGUAGGGUAUUGGCCUACCGAGGCAUUGACGGGUAACGGGGAAUUAGGGUUCGAUUCCGGAGAGGGAGCCUGAGAAACGGCUACCACAUCUAAGGGUGGCAGCAGGCGCGCAAAUUACCCAAUCCCGACACGGGGAGGUAGUGACAAGAAAUAGCGGCGUGAGACAAAAGUUUCAUGACUGCAAUGAGUAGAACUUAAAAACGUCUACGAUUAACAAUUGGAGGGCAAGUCUGGUGCCAGCAGCCGCGGUAAUUCCAGCUCCAAUAGCGUAUAUUAAAGUUGUUGCAGUUAAAGCGUCCGUAGUUGAUAUUCGAAAAUAUCUUUAUGACUUAACAUAAUUUAUGUUAUAUAUAAAUGUAUAUUUUCUAGUUUACGGUUUACCGUUAAACAAUGUUACUUUGAGUAAAUUGGAGUGCUCCAAGCAGGCUUAUUAGUCUGAACAUCUCAGCAUAGAAUAACAACAUAUGACCUAAGUCUGUAUUGUUGGUUUUCAGAUAUUGUGUAAUGAUUGAUAAGGACAUUCGGGGGCAUUUGUACUCGCUGGUGAGAGGUAAAAUUCUAAGAUCCAGUGAUGACAAACAAAUGCGAAAGCAUUUGUCUAGUGUGUACCUGUUAAUCAAGGACGAAAGUUGGGGGAUCGAAGACGAUUAGAUACCGUCGUAGUCCCAACCAUAAACUAUGCCGACUGAGUAUCGGUGAAGAGAUUAUAUAUCUUCCUCGGAACUCUAAGAGAAAUCUAAGUUUUUGGGCCCUGGGGGGAGUAUGGUCGCAAGGCUGAAACUUAAAGGAAUUGACGGAAGGGCACCACCAGGAGUGGAGCCUGCGGCUUAAUUCGACUCAACGCGGGAAACCUCACCAGGUCCGGACAUAGUCAUGAUUGACAGAUGAAAAGAUCUUUCUUGAUUCUAUGGGUGGUGGUGCAUGGCCGUUCUUAGUCGGUGAGGUGACUUGUCAGGUUAAUUCCGAUAACGGACGAGACCUCGGCCUACUAAAUAGUAUUACCAUAUUCGUAUGGUAAAGACUUCUUAGAGGGACAUUGAGAGUUUAUCUCAAGGAAGUUCGAGCCAAUAACAGGUCCGUGAUGCCCUUAGAUGACCUGGGCUGCACGUGCGCUACAAUGAUAAGAGCAGAAAGUAUACCAAAUUCGAAAGAAUGAGGAAAUCUAAGAAAUCUUAUCGUGAUUGGGAUUGAUCAUUGCAAUUAUUGAUCAUUAACGAGGAAUUCCUAGUAAGUGCAAGUCAUUAUCUUGUGCUGAUUGCGUCCCUGCCCUUUGUACACACCGCCCGUCGCUUCAACCGAUUGGAUGAUCCGGUAAAUUAUGUGGACAAGAUAUAAGUACCUGUACUUAUAUCUUGGAAGCAGCGUGAGCCUUAUCAUCUAGAGGAUGAAAAAGUCGUAACACGGUAUCCGUAGGUGAACCUGCGGAUG
rnacentral:rRNA from 1 species